rnacentral:tRNA from 1 species
GAGGGUAAAGCUCAGUGAUAGUGUACAUUCUUAGCAUACAUGAGAUCCUGGGUUCAACUCCCAGUACCUCCA